ACUCCUGCCUCAGGCCUCAGCCACCACAGUUGACAGGGUCCAGAGCAAAACCUACGGAAGAAGCUGCAGAGGCCAGGUGGAGGGAAGGAUGCUGAACUGGAGGAGGCCAGGAAAUUAUGAGGUACACCAAUCAAACAUAGUGUGUCCAGAAUUUGUGGGUUCUUGGUCUCACUGACUUCAAGAACGAAGCUGCGGACCCUCACGGAAGAGAAGAGUGAUCAUCAGCAGCAAAAGGCAAUUGCAGAGAAGCACCACCAAGAGCCAGCUUCAUGCUCAGGAGUGAAUGCUGAGCCGCCUCCUCGUGGUUUCCGGUGCUCCACAUGUUCAGAGAAACUUCUCUGCUCAAAUGUUGCCUUUUCCAAAACCACCCAUGGGCCUGCCCCCUGACAUCCUGUGCCUAUAAAAACCCCAUACUCAGCUGGCAGAGAGAAGAGAAGCAGCUGGACGUUGGUGACUAUGGUUAGACAUUGGAGAGAAGCAGCUUCACUUCAGAGGGACAGCUUGACACGUAACAUCAGAGAAGAAUCUGGCCAGAGAUGGCUGGACUUCAGGAGAAGAUUACCUUCCCUCUCCAUCCCCUUUUCAACUUCCCUUCCUGCUGAGAGCCACUUUCAUCGGCAAUAAAAAUCCCCUACAUUUGUCAUCCUUCAA
ensembl:lncRNA novel transcript, antisense to C7orf33 and CNTNAP2